CUCUAUAGUGGUUAGCUGGGUUUCAAGCAUUUGUUCCAGUCUUUUGUGGGGGAAAGGAAGCAGGGUGAGCUGGAUCAGACUCUUCCUGUGAUCUGGUAUAGUGAAAUAUGAGGUGAGGAACUUGAGCAUGGUCCCUGGGGAGCAAGGAGAAGUGGAGAUGGAGGGAGCCGCAUGGUCUGUGCUGCGUGGUGCCAUCAUUGAAGGUGCAAGGAGGAGCCAGACAGCAGCAGAGUGAAGAUCAGAGGAAAACGGGCAGCCAGAACACAUGGGGAACAGGAUUCAUCAACUGGCACGCUCUGUGUAUGGGGAGAACUACAACUAUCCCCACAGGACAUCGGGGCAGAGACUGGGUCAUCCCACUGCUGGCCCC